UGAUGAAGAACGCGCGUGCGGGGACUGUUAAUGUGGCUUCAGAAAUAAGUUAUAGCAGAUGCAGAUGUAUAAUCGUACUACACAUAACAGACCCAUUCUCUAGUUUGGAAUUUUUUGGAUUUUUGGAAAAUGCGCGUUCCGUGAUUCAUUCAUUAGCGUGACAGUUGAGUGGCUGCUGCAUUAUACAACAUAAUACACGUAUGCAUAUUCUGUGUUUUUUUUUUCAGUUAUUGACGGAGGCUACUUAUUUGGGACAUAAAAAUAAAAUGCUACUGUUUUAACUUAUUUAGUCAAAAAAUAUUUUAACAUUAGGCUAUAGGUUGCAUUGCUACUGUUUUAACUUAUUUAGUAAAAAAUAUUUUAACAUUAGGCUAUAGGUUGCAUUUU
rnacentral:lncRNA from 1 species